GGAUCAUCACGUCGGUCGUGCCUUUGGUAUGAACUGGCGUCGAUGGUUUCUCCCUUCUGACGAACCAAGAUGUCAUUAAGUUGGUGUUUUGGGGAGUUAGGACUGUUACUUUGAAAAAAUUAGAGUGUUUAAAGCAGGCAAACGCUUGAAUACAUUAGCAUGGAAUAAUGAAAUAGGACGUUCGAUCCUAUUUCGUUGGUUUCUAGGAUCAACGUAAUGA
rnacentral:rRNA from 1 species